rnacentral:tRNA from 1 species
CAAAAAGUAGUUUAAUUUAGAAUUCUAGCUUUGGGAGUUAGCGGUAGGAGUUAAAAUCUCCUCUUUUUG